CCUACGGGUGGCUGCAGUAGGGAAUAUUGGACAAUGGGUGCAAGCCUGAUCCAGCCAUGCCGCGUGCAGGAAGAAGGCCUUCUGGGUCGUAAACUGCUUUUGCCGGGGGAUAAAAUAGCUAUGCGUAGCGAAUUGAAGGUACCUGGUGAAUAAGCCACGGCUAACUACGUGCCAGCAGCCGCGGUAAUACGUAGGUGGCAAGCGUUGUCCGGGUUUAUUGGGUUUAAAGGGUGCGUAGGCGGUCAAUUGAGAAAUACGGCAGCUUAACUGUCGAGGUGCCAUUGAUACUGCUUGACUUGAGUACUGAUGAGGUAGGCGGAAUGGACGGUGUAGCGGUGAAAUGCUUAGAGAUCGUCCAGAACACCGAUAGCGAAGGCAGCUUACUAAGGAGUAACUGACGCUGAGGCACGAAAGUGUGGGGAUCAAACAGGAUUAGAUACCCUAGUAGUC
rnacentral:rRNA from 1 species